UACAGAGGGGGCAAGCGUUGUUCGGAAUUACUGGGCGUAAAGCGCGCGUAGGCGGCUUUGCAAGGCGGGUGUGAAAUCCCCAGGCUUAACCUGGGAACUGCAUUCGAGACUGCAUUGCUAGAGUAUGGGAGAGGGAAGUGGAAUUUCCGGUGUAGCGGUGAAAUGCGUAGAUAUCGGAAGGAACAUCAGUGGCGAAAGCGGCUACCUGGCCUGAUACUGACACUGAGGCACGAAAGCGUGGGGAGCAAACAGG
rnacentral:rRNA from 1 species